UACGUAGGGUGCGAGCGUUAAUCGGAAUUACUGGGCGUAAAGCGUGCGCAGGCGGUUCGUUAAGUUCGUCGUGAAAGCCCCGGGCUCAACCUGGGAAUGGCGAUGGAAACUGGCGGGCUGGAGUGUGGCAGAGGGGGGUGGAAUUCCGCGUGUAGCAGUGAAAUGCGUAGAGAUGCGGAGGAACACCGAUGGCGAAGGCAGCCCCCUGGGCCAACACUGACGCUCAGGCACGAAAGCGUGGGGAGCAAACAGG
rnacentral:rRNA from 1 species